UGGGGGAGGGAGAAGAGGGAGGUGAAGGGGGACGCGAGCAGCGAGCGAGUCAGAGGCUGCCUUAUCCCAGUGCGGAGCUGCCGGAGCUGCGGCGCGGGGGAGGGGAGGGGAAGGCAAGGCAAGGCGAAGGCGGGCGGCCUUGGCGCUGCCCGCGCCGCGCCGCGCCGCGCCGGCUUUGCCGCUCGCCGGAGCCCGGCUCGCUGAGACCCGAGGGCGUCGGGUCCGGGGGAGCGGGCGGCGGCGGCGGGGCGCCGGGCGGGCUGCGGCGGGCGCGGGAGCCCGGGGCUGGCCAGGCGAGGGGCGCUGCUUCCCGCUUUCGCCCUCCCGCGCGGCCCGGGCGGACGGAACCACCGAUCCCGUCGGAUUCCGGCGGAGCUGUAACGAAUGACAGGACGAUCUAGCGCCUUAUGUAGCUAACUAGGUCACUGUCAACACUUAAUUACUGUUUGUUUCAUUUUAGUGCGUGCCUUAUGAAUAAACCGGCUAUUAGGCUGAUGCUUCAAGUAACACUGUCCAGCACCAAGGUCCUGACUUAUGUGUGCUGAACACUUGCGGUUGGCAAUACUUCAACACCUGUGUGCAACAGAACAUUGCACUGCAUCUGAAGACCUAAAAUUUGGAGUCUGCAGGCCUUGAGGAUGGAGGGAAGUUGAGCCUAAAUAUCCACACAGAGCCACAUAUGCUGGAUAUUUUCAAGAUUGGGAUUUGGAAAUAAGUUCCUCUCUUUCACUCAUAAAGUAUCAUAAGAUAGAACCUUUCGGACCAUGGCAUAUCUAUAUUUAUAUUUUCUAUACAUAUAUACUUUUUUUCCUCCCUAUAUUUUUCUGUGCAUAAAUUUUCAGAGAAAUACAUAUAUGAAAUAAAUUCCACAUCUGAAGUAGUGCAAAUGUGGGAUAUUGCUGGAAAGGCUGUGGUUCCUGUGUGUCUUCAUACAGGUGAGAGAGACAAAGGACAUAUACCACAGGCUUCUUUUUGAACAAGAAGAGAUCAGGAGCUUGAACAGCAGAAUUACGGAUUCAGGUGGUUAUGACGACAUCAUUAAAUUCAGAAGUCUAUCGCCACAUUAAAUAGGCAGGAGCUGUGAACUGGCAAAAGCCUUCAUUACUGAAUCAAUAUGAGGCCAUUGUCUCAAGAAGUCCUCCUUCAAGGAAGAAGUUCUAACCCUCACUAUAUCAAGAGUUCUUGGGCAUAUGAGAUUAGCCAGGAAGCUCAUCGGCAUGUGAAAUACAGCAACAGGGAGUCAUCUCCAGCACUGUUUCACCUGGUAAAAGCCUAUAUGACGUGACUGCAAGCAUGCUACGUUUUUUAUCUUUGUCACUGAUGAGUCUUGGUGUUCCUUGGACACUGGAUUAAUUUAUCAAGCGUGGGCUCCAAAUCCCUGUUCCAAGUUCAGGCCCUUCAUGGCUAGGCAUGCAGGGAUGCCUAGUGCCCGGGAAUCUCCUGAUCACAAAGGACACAUGACAGAGCGGAAGCUGUCAGAAACCUCCUUUUUGUUGAAGGCUGCGUUGUUUUUAUUUCAUGAAAAUAAAAAUCCAAACCAAUGUCCUGUUUCACCAUAACCGAAUGGAGAGGUACCUUCUAGACCUGGACGGCAGUACAGCCCAGGUUCCUUCGUGUCAGUCAGAUUGAAAGAGGGAAACAGACCAAAGAUGGCUUUUCUGAUCUUUCUGCAAAGUACAUUUCCAUAGGCUUUUGGAGAACUUCAUGUUUCGUGGAAAUGCACCAUCAACAGAGAAGAUAUAGAGCGCAAACAACUUUAGUGAUUUUGUUAGAGAAAAAGGAAUGGGAAGGGGUGUGGCGGGUUCAUCAUACUUGGCUGUACCGAACAUGAAAUUUCCUUUUUGGAAAGCUGUUUGUCUGCAUCAAGAAUAGGUGUGAUGUACCUUAUGUUCCUGCAGUUAGAAUUGUUGAAAAGAUCUGAUUAGACUUGCCUGUAACAGUUUUACGAACUGUGAACAAAUGUAGUGUUUCAGUUCGUGUAUUAGAAGGAUGAUUGAGGAUAAAUCAUUAGAUAACGUGGACUGAAGCAGUUUAUGCACUGAACGAUGGAUAUUCUUGAAGUAAAAUAGUAAAUUACUUUUUCAGACUAUGUGGUUACAAUUUUCUAACCCAUCCAGUAUUGGACAAUCAAAAAUUUUACUUACAAGAUACCCUGACCUUUCAAGUCAUAAUCCCAUUUAAGACCAGACAACAGGAAUAAAUUAAAUCAAUGCAGAGAGCAACACAUUAAUUUGUGGGAUUUUUGUACUUCUUGAGCUAUGAUACUAAUUUGUGAAAUGAAAGUAAGCUACUCUAAUAAUGGCUUAAUUAUAGAUAGGCCAGAUAAGGCUGUUGGUAUUUAAAGACAGAGGAUGUUUAUAUUUAAAGAAAUGAAACUCCUGUCACACUGCAAAGAUAAAGCAAAAAAGAUAAUGAGAUAAAGAGUGGUAGGUGUUUAGGCUUAUGUCUGAGGCUGACUGGGGCCAGAUGUUGGGCUUAGAUGUGGUGAUGCUGCAUUCCGUUGAGCAUGCUGCUGCUGCGAGAGCCCACCAGUGUGGGGCAGAGUAGAAAAACUGCCCCGAUGCCAUUUUGACCGUAAGCUACAAAGUGCAUAUAUAGUCAGUCCUUUGUGAGAUCAAGUGAAAACCAGAAGCAACAGGAGAAAGUAAAGAUUUCCAAAUUUUUGCACAAAUGUGACUAAUUCUGGGAUUUCAAAGUGGGUGACUUGGGUAUUUGUCGUUUUUGUAAAAGCAAGACAAAUCAGAGUAUGUUUAUUAGGUCAUGUGCACAAUCAGGCAAUCCUGAAUCUGGAGGAGGGAAAAGCAAUCUGCCUCAGAGUCAAGCCUGAGGCAUGCUAACAUCUUAUUCCUGGGUGAAGAAGAGGGAAGUUGGGGAGCCUAUUAUCCCCCACCCUGAAGACUGUCUCUUUGAGCUUGACUGUCUGAAUCCACAGCUUGUCUCUUACCAGUUAAAUCAGGAAUUAUCUCCUAGGAGGGUGUUGUACAGAGCCACUAACACCCAUGUAGCAGCUACAGUAGCAAAUAUAGGAGGAGAAACACUGGGAAUGUCCUGACUAGUUAUUGUAAAAAUGUCUUUCUCUACUAAAAAAGUUCUAUUUAAAUGUUUCAUAAGUUUUUCUUUUCCUGAGAAUUCAGCUUUAAUUGAAGAGGGAUAUCUGAAAAAUGGAAGUGGUCUUCCUGAGCCAGCUGUUUGCCAGCACUGUUAGCAUCUCUUUGAGAAGCCACUUCUGAGAACAAGCCUUGCUCCUCUGCAGGUCCUCCGGUGUCCUCCUGGCCAAGCCUUUGUUGAUGUUCAGCUUCCUCAGGGGGUUUGAAUUCGGCCCCCUUUCACUUCCCUUCUGGCUCGGCUCUGCAUUUUGAAGAUGUGUACUCACAAGUUAAGACAUCACAUAUCGCUCGCUCCUGCUGUAGCACAGACAGGGUUUAAUAUUAAUCUUUGUUUACUCAACAAUAAAAGUUGUAUUUAGUCUAAGAUCUGUUAAAUUUAAUACUGAUAAAUCGAGCACUUUCUUAAUGUACGUUCACAUGCUGUCUUAGUCUAUUAUAUACGUGCUGUACAAAUGUGAUGCAUUGGCUUUGUAAACACACAAAUAAAGACAAGGAGAAUAAAGCAUUUGCA